rnacentral:rRNA from 1 species
UACGGGGGAUGCAAGCGUUGUCCGGAAUCAUUGGGCGUAAAGAGUUCGUAGGUGGCAUGUUAAGUCUGGUGUUAAAUGCAAAGGCUCAACCUUUGUUUGGCGCUGGAUACUGGCGAGCUUGAAUACGGUAGAGGUAAAGGGAAUUCCUGGUGUAGCGGUGAAAUGCGUAGAUAUCAGGAGGAACAUCGGUGGCGAAAGCGCUUUACUGGGCCGUAAUUGACACUGAGGAACGAAAGCCAGGGUAG